rnacentral:misc_RNA from 1 species
GAUGAAGAACGCAGCGAAACGCGAUAAGUAAUGUGAAUUGCAGAAUUUAGUGAAUCAUCGAACUUUUGAACGCACAUUGCGCCCGCCGGCACUCCGGCGGGCAUGCCUGUCCGAGCGUCAUUUCAACCCUCAGGCCCGAACCCCCCCGGGGGGGGCGGGCCUGGUGUUGGGGCUCGGGGUCCGCGAGGCCCCCGUCCCCUAAAUCCAGUGGCGGUCGCGCCGCACCCUCCCCUGCGUAGUAGCACACCUCGCACCGGAGNGCAGCGCGUCCACGCCGUGAAACCCCCAAUUUACCAAGGUUGACCUCGGAUCAGGUAGGAAUACCCGCUGAACUUAAGCAUAUCAAUAAGCGGAGGA